AGCGAACGCUGGCGGCAGGCCUAACACAUGCAAGUCGAACGAACCUUUCGGGGUUAGUGGCGGACGGGUGAGUAACACGUGGGAACGUGCCUUUAGGUUCGGAAUAACUCAGGGAAACUUGUGCUAAUACCGAAUGUGCCCUUCGGGGGAAAGAUUUAUCGCCUUUAGAGCGGCCCGCGUCUGAUUGGCUAGUUGGUUGAGGUAAUGGCUCACCAAGGCGGCGAUCAGUAGCUGGUCUGAGAGGAUGAUCAGCCACAUUGGGACUGAGACACGGCCCAAACUCCUACGGGAGGCAGCAGUGGGGAAUCUUGCGCAAUGGGCGAAAGCCUGACGCAGCCAUGCCGCGUGAAUGAUGAAGGUCUUAGGAUUGUAAAAUUCUUUCACCGGGGACGAUAAUGACGGUACCCGGAGAAGAAGCCCCGGCUAACUUCGUG
rnacentral:rRNA from 1 species